CGAACGGGUGAGUAAUGCGUGACCAACCUGCCCCAUGCUCCAGAAUAGCUCUUGGAAACGGGUGGUAAUGCUGGAUGCUCCAACUUGACGCGUGUCUUGUUGGGAAAGUGUUUAGUGGCAUGGGAUGGGGUCGCGUCCUAUCAGCUUGUAGGCGGGGUAAUGGCCCACCUAGGCUUCGACGGGUAGCCGGCCUGAGAGGGCGGACGGCCACAUUGGGACUGAGAUACGGCCCAGACUCCUACGGGAGGCAGCAGAC
rnacentral:rRNA from 1 species